CAAAACUGGGUCUCGUGCGAUUACCGAAGUUGAGCAGGGUCGAGCCUGGUCAGUACCUAGUAGGGUGACCGCUUGGGAAUUACCAGGUGCUGCAAGC